rnacentral:tRNA from 1 species
AACCUAUUAGCUCAACAGGUAGAGCACUAUGCACUAUGCAUAGGAGAUGUGGGUUCGAUUCCUACAUAGGUUG